rnacentral:rRNA from 1 species
AGAGUUUGAUCCUGGCUCAGAUUAAACGCUGGCGGCGUGCCUUACACAUGCAAGUCGAGCGGCAGCGCGGGGGCAACCCUGGCGGCGAGCGGCGAACGGGUGAGGAAUACAUCGGAACGUACCCCGGAGUGGGGGAUAACGCCGCGAAAGCGGCGCUAAUACCGCAUAUGCUCUGAGGAGGAAAGUGGGGGACCGCAAGGCCUCACGCUCUGGGAGCGGCCGAUGUCCGAUUAGCUAGUUGGUGGGGUAAAGGCCCACCAAGGCGACGAUCGGUAGCUGGUCUGAGAGGAUGAUCAGCCACACUGGGACUGAGACACGGCCCAGACUCCUACGGGAGGCAGCAGUGGGGAAUUUUGGACAAUGGGGGCAACCCUGAUCCAGCCAUGCCGCGUGCGGGAAGAAGGCCUUCGGGUUGUAAACCGCUUUUAGUCGGGAAGAAAAGGCAACUCUUAAUACGGGUUGUUCUUGACGGUACCGGCGGAAUAAGCACCGGCUAACUACGUG